UACGAGGGGGGCGAGCGUUGUUCGGAAUUAUUGGGCGUAAAGGGCGCGUAGGCGGUCGGAUAAGUCUUGUGUGAAAUCUUCGGGCUCAACUCGAAGUCUGCACAGGAAACUAUCUGGCUUGAGUGUGGGAGAGGUGAGUGGAAUUCCUGGUGUAGCGGUGAAAUGCGUAGAUAUCAUUUGGAACGCCAAUGGUGAAAACAGGUAGCUGGGGAAGUGCUGACGCUGAGACACGAAAGCCAGGGGAGCGAACGGG
rnacentral:rRNA from 1 species